GAUGAACGCUGGCGGCGUGCCUAAUACAUGCAAGUCGAGCGAACAGACGAGGAGCUUGCUCCUCUGACGUUAGCGGCGGACGGGAGGGUCACACGUGGAUAACAUACCUCUAAGACUGGGAUAAUUUUGGCAAAUGGGCGCUUAUAGGGGAUGAUUUAUUGCACCGAAAGGGUCAAUAGUGAAAUUAGGUUUUUCGGUCAGUAAUAGCUGACUACGGGCCGCAUUAGGUAGUUGGUAAGGUAAAGGCUUACCAAGGCAACGAGGGGAAGCCGACCUGAGAGGGUGAUCGGCCAGACGGGAACUGAGACACGGUCCAGACUCCUGCGGGAGGCAGCAGUAGGGAAUCUUCCGCAAUGGGCGAAAGGCUGACGUAGCAACGCCGCGUGAGUGAUGAAGGUCUUCGGAUCGUAAAACUCUGUUAUUAGGGAAGAACAAAUGUGUAAUUAACUAUGCACGUCUUGACGGUACCUAAUCAGAAAGCCACGGCUAACUACGUG
rnacentral:rRNA from 1 species